GGGGGCAGCACAUGAAGCAGCAAUGCGGAUGGUGGCGACCGGCGCACGGGUGAGUAACGCGUAUGCAACCUACCUACAACAGGGGAAUAACCCGUUGAAAGACGGACUAAUACCCCAUAACACAGGGAUCCCGCAUGGGAAUAUUUGUUAAAGAUUUAUCGGUUGUAGAUGGGCAUGCGUUCCAUUAGCUAGUUGGUGAGGUAACGGCUCACCAAGGCAACGAUGGAUAGGGGAACUGAGAGGUUUAUCCCCCACACUGGUACUGAGACACGGACCAGACUCCUACGGGAGGCAGCAGUGAGGAAUAUUGGUCAAUGGGCGCAAGCCUGAACCAGUACCCACGUCGCGUGAAGGAAGACGGCCCUACGGGUUGUAAACUUCUUUUGUAAGGGAAUAAAGUGUAGUACGUGUACUAUUUUGCAUGUACCUUACGAAUAAGGAUCGGCUAACUCCGUGCCAGCAGCAGC
rnacentral:rRNA from 1 species